rnacentral:rRNA from 1 species
UGUGUAGGUGGUGCUCUAAGUUUGGUGUGAAAUCUCCCGGCUUAACUGGGAGGGUGCAUCGAAAACUGGAGUGCUUGAGUAUGGGAGAGGUAAGCGGAAUUCCUGGUGUAGCGGUGAAAUGCGUAGAUAUCAGGAGGAACACCUGUGGUGUAGACAGCUUACUGGACCAUCACUGACACUGAGACACGAAAGCGUGGGUAGCAAACAGGAUUAGAUACCCUGGUAGUCCACGCCCUAAACGAUGCAUACUUGGUGUGAGCCAUUCAUUUGGUUCGUGCCGGAGCUAACGCGUUAAGUAUGCCGCCUGGGGAGUACGGUCGCAAGGCUGAA